GUUCAGAUUGUAGGCUGCAACUCGCCUACAUGAAGUCGGAAUUGCUAGUAAUCGCGGAUCAGCAUGCCGCGGUGAAUAACGUUCCCGGGCCGUUGUACACACCGCCCGUCACACCAUGAGAGCCGGUAACACCCGAAGUCAGUAGCCUAACCGCAAGGGGGGCGCUGCCGAAGGUGGGAUUGGUAAUUGGGGUGAAGUCGUAACAAGGUAAC
rnacentral:rRNA from 1 species